rnacentral:misc_RNA from 1 species
GAAGUAAAAGUCGUAACAAGGUCUCCGUUGGUGAACCAGCGGAGGGAUCAUUACCGAGUUAUACAACUCCCAAACCCACUGUGAACCUUACCUCAGUUGCCUCGGCGGGAACGCCCCGGCCGCCUGCCCCCGCGCCGGCGCCGGACCCAGGCGCCCGCCGCAGGGACCCCAAACUCUCUUGCAUUACGCCCAGCGGGCGGAAUUUCUUCUCUGAGUUGCACAAGCAAAAACAAAUGAAUCAAAACUUUCAACAACGGAUCUCUUGGUUCUGGCAUCGAUGAAGAACGCAGCGAAAUGCGAUAAGUAAUGUGAAUUGCAGAAUUCAGUGAAUCAUCGAAUCUUUGAACGCACAUUGCGCCCGCCAGCAUUCUGGCGGGCAUGCCUGUUCGAGCGUCAUUUCAACCCUCGAGCCCCCCCGGGGGCCUCGGUGUUGGGGGACGGCACACCAGCCGCCCCCGAAAUGCAGUGGCGACCCCGCCGCAGCCUCCCCUGCGUAGUAGCACACACCUCGCACCGGAGCGCGGAGGCGGUCACGCCGUAAAACGCCCAACUUUCUUAGAGUUGACCUCGGAUCAGGUAGGAAUACCCGCUGAACUUAAGCAUAUCAAUAAGCGGAGGAA